GCUCCUCAGGACACGGCUGGAGCCGUCCAGCAGGUGAGCCCCCACCAUGAGUUUGAGAGACCAGGGCUGCUGGGGCCUGGUCAUGCAGGGCCCGGACAGGGGGCUGUCCCGCUGUGAGGAAGCUCUUGGCUUACCCUCCUCUGAGCCUCAGAGCUUGUGAGGUUAGUUCCUGGGUUCCCUGGGUGUGGGCAACCUCUAGCCCUGUUCAUCCCUUGCGUUUCAACAGUACCCCCAGGUGACCCCCACCCCUGAUGUUCCUGCUUUUCUAUUUUUAUUGUUGCUAAAUCACAGCUGACACUUUCCUGGCCUGAGACUGAGCCCUCCAGUCUCCAGCCAUUCCUUAUAGGAAGUAAGAACAGGGAAGUGGAUAGGGGAAACAGACCUUUCCAGAGGGAGAGGCUGGCAUAGGAAGGGCUGAGUCCCGUGGGUGUGUGCUGGCACCGACAGCCCCAUAGGCAGGGGCCUUCCCCCCGGCACCCUUCUCUCUCCCCACAGCUUCCCCCGCCCCGGAAAAGCUAGCAAGCCUUCCUUCCUUCCUCCGGGAAGCACAUCUAUCCAGAGCAGGCUCAUCCCCGGCGGCCACACAAUGGCCCUUAUCAGCCGUGGAGCCAGGCGUAGACCCAGUGCACACCAGACUACUGAGACCGCUCUGCGGGUGGGUUCAGACCCCAUUCCUGUUUCUGGUCCUGUGGGAAACCACAGGUGCCUGGAACUUUGAAGAGACUGUACCACUUCUCUGAGCCUUGGCUUUCCCAUCUGCCCAAUGAAGGGUGCCAUGCAGUAACCCUCGUGAUGGCUGUGCAUGUGAGAAGGAACAGGCUUGCGGGGGAGAGUAUGCAACACAGAGCAACUGGAGUAACCCUCAGUCCCAG
rnacentral:lncRNA from 10 species